GAGGAUGCGAGCGUUAUCCGGAUUUAUUGGGUUUAAAGGGUGCGUAGGCGGCAUGUUAAGUCAGCGGUAAAAGCUCGGGGCUCAACCCCGGCGAGCCGUUGAAACUGGCAGGCUAGAGACGGCGAGAGGUAUGCGGAAUGCGCAGUGUAGCGGUGAAAUGCAUAGAUAUUGCGCAGAACUCCGAUUGCGAAGGCAGCAUACUGGCGCCGGACUGACGCUGAGGCACGAAAGCGUGGGGAUCAAA
rnacentral:rRNA from 1 species